rnacentral:rRNA from 1 species
AUUGAACGCUGGCGGCAGGCCUAACACAUGCAAGUCGAGCGGAUGAAGAGAGCUUGCUCUCUGAUUCAGCGGCGGACGGGUGAGUAAUGCCUAGGAAUCUGCCUGAUAGUGGGGGACAACGUUUCGAAAGGAACGCUAAUACCGCAUACGUCCUACGGGAGAAAGCAGGGGACCUUCGGGCCUUGCGCUAUCAGAUGAGCCUAGGUCGGAUUAGCUAGUUGGUGAGGUAAUGGCUCACCAAGGCGACGAUCCGUAACUGGUCUGAGAGGAUGAUCAGUCACACUGGAACUGAGACACGGUCCAGACUCCUACGGGAGGCAGCAGUGGGGAAUAUUGGACAAUGGGCGAAAGCCUGAUCCAGCCAUGCCGCGUGUGUGAAGAAGGUCUUCGGAUUGUAAAGCACUUUAAGUUGGGAGGAAGGGCAUUAACCUAAUACGUUAGUGUUUUGACGUUACCGACAGAAUAAGCACCGGCUAACUUCGUGCCG